AGAAUCAACGCUGGCGGCGUGCCUAACACAUGCAAGUCGAACGCGAGAGUCCCGCAAGGGACAAUUGAGUGGCAAACGGGUGAGUAACACGUGGGUGACCUGCCUUCGAGUGGGGGAUAACGUCCCGAAAGGGACGCUAAUACCGCAUGACAUCCUGCCUUUGGACAGGCGGAGAUCAAAGCCGGGGAUCGCAAGACCUGGCGCUUGGAGAGGGCCCGCGUCUGAUUAGCUAGUUGGUGAGGUAACGGCUCACCAAGGCGACGAUC
rnacentral:rRNA from 1 species